GUCUGGAUGAAGUCUCUGAAUGUACUGAUGACAGAGCUGUUUUGAUGGCUAGCCCUUAUAUCAGAGAUGUUAAAGGUGGCUAGGUGAGAAUACUUCAACUUUCAUUCCUUGCUACCUUUAUUUCACCUGAGACCCAGCUAGCAAACCCAGCGCUGUGCGUCCGUAUAUACCCGCUACAUCUGGAAGGCCUUUACAAUUCACCUGUUAGCCUGAGAAAGAAAACACCUCAAAGAACAUACAGUUAUAGCCCUCCCAUUGUUUGCUCUGUUCCAUACCCAAGCUUACAACCAACCACCAGUGCCCAAAACUGCACA